rnacentral:rRNA from 1 species
CUACGGGGGGCUGCAGUGAGGAAUAUUGCACAAUGGGGGGAACCCUGAUGCAGCAACGCCGCGUGGAGGAUGACACUUUUCGGAGCGUAAACUCCUUUUAUAUAGGAAGAAGAUGACGGUACUAUAUGAAUAAGCGCCGGCUAACUCCGUGCCAGCAGCCGCGGUAAUACGGAGGGCGCAAGCGUUACUCGGAAUCACUGGGCGUAAAGAGCGUGUAGGCGGAUUAAAAAGUCAGAAGUGAAAUCCUAUAGCUUAACUAUAGAACUGCUUCUGAAACUCUUAAUCUAGAAUAUGGGAGAGGUAGAUGGAAUUUCUGGUGUAGGGGUAAAAUCCGUAGAGAUCAGAAGGAAUACCGAUUGCGAAGGCGAUCUACUAGAACAUUAUUGACGCUGAGACGCGAAAGCGUGGGGAGCAAACAGGAUUAGAUACACUCGUAGUC